rnacentral:rRNA from 1 species
CCUACGGGUGGCAGCAGUGGGGAAUAUUGCACAAUGGGCGCAAGCCUGAUGCAGCGACGCCGCGUGCGGGAUGGAGGCCUUCGGGUUGUAAACCGCUUUUGUUCAAGGGCAAGGCACGGUCUUCGGCCGUGUUGAGUGGAUUGUUCGAAUAAGCACCGGCUAACUACGUGCCAGCAGCCGCGGUAAUACGUAGGGUGCAAGCGUUAUCCGGGUUUAUUGGGCGUAAAGGGCUCGUAGGCGGUUCGUCGCGUCCGGUGUGAAGUUCCAUGGCUUAACGGUGGAUCCGCGCCGGGUACGGGCGGGCUUGAGGGCGGUAGGGGAGACUGGAAUUCCCGGGGUAACGGUGAAAUGUGUAGAUACCGGGAAGAACACCAAGGGCGAAGGAAGG